CUGCAGAUUCCUGACAGGCGACCCUUUCCAACAAAGGACACCGACACAAACAGUUUCUAAAGGAAACAGUAAAUGUGGGUGACACCUGUUCUUGGCUAAUGAAAUGGCAAUUUCAAGUGGAGAUAGAAUCAUCUUUGCAUGACCCAUCUGUCCAAGUCACAAAAUUAAAAAUGACAUCUACCCAUGGCCAGCGCUGCAGAGUGACUUCCGGCUAUCAACCUGGGUGCUUGUUGAAGGAGUGAGAGGCCAGUGCUGAGGCCUUGCACACGCAGUCACCGGGGACUC